rnacentral:rRNA from 1 species
AUGUUUAAUCAUUUUGAUAUGACCUCUAAUCUUGGUGAUGAUUUUGUGUCCAAUGACUUAUUGCAUGUUUGCUUAUUUAAGGAUGUUGUAGCAUGUAAAAUUGAUGCAACUAAGAUUUAUUCGCCAAUAUUGGGAUGGUUUAAUGAUGAACAUUGUCAAUCUUUUGAAAUGAAUAAGAGCUUCACUUAUAUGUGCAAACUGAGUUGCAAUAUUUUCAUGCCUUCUACUUCUUGUGAUAAUUUUUCAGCUUUAGAUUUUAUGAAAUAUGAAAGUUACUCAUGUAUACAUGUGUCAUAUGUGCAAAAAUCAAAGGAAGUAAAAAUGGAUGACAUAUACAUAUACAACAUGUACACCUUGUCUCUUUUGUUAGCCACAUUUUAG